CAGUUUUUUCCACGGGCUAAAAUCGAAGCCACAGGUGUUUUUGACUUCAUGUCAGGGUCUCCAAGCCCCCUGCCAGGGUCUGGAGCCAGCCAGGGCAGCCAGUGGGGUGUCCUGGACUUCCACAGGAUAUUUUUGCCAGGCAGCCUGCAGGGCUUACUUCUCCCCAGCACAGCUUUUUCCCAUGCUUCCCAAGCCAUGGUCAGGCAAAGAACCCUCUUGCCGGAGUUUGAUUUCAUUAAAGAUGUUAAUUCUGACCCUGCCUGUGCAUAUUCAUGAGGCAGUGGUGUCCUUCCGCUGCCAUGGACAGCCAGGAUGAGCUGCCAUCACAGCACACAGCGGGUGCACAUCCAGGAACGGGAGGGUGCCACGUUCAGCUCAACCUCAUUCCCCUCCAGAUUGUACCUGCUGGUUCCUGGAGGCUUUAAAAGCCAGUGCAGAGCUGCAAUGGGUUUGCCCCAAAAUUCCCACUGGAUUUUUCCAGCAGCAUUUGUUGCCCCAAAGGACUUCUGCAAGUCCACGUUGCCCCUGUUUGCUUAGAUGCACCUGGAUGACCCCCAAAGCACCCCUAAACUUCCACAAUUAGUUUCCCAAAUGGAAAUCUAUAGAUUGCAGAGGCUAGCUGAGCUCCUUGGCAUGGCCAGGACAUCAGAGUGAAGCCUCACAUUGUGUCCAUGUCCUCAGAUUUGCUAUGUGGCACCUGCCAGAGCAUCUCCUGCUCUGAUAGAGCCAGAGAUUUCAGCUGGGAAAUGUCAGCUAGCCUUGGAUGGAUUAAGGGGGUUUGGCAUCAUUCCUGGCACCUUUUUAUCUCAUUCCUCCAUGAAGCUGUGAUCUCAGGGAUGACUGUGCUCCAGGGGAUAACAGCAAUCAAAUGCAGCAAGGAGCAAAGCUCCUACAACAGAGCAAAACCUAUUCCCAAGGUCCCGAGUGUGGACAGGCUUCCCAAGUCCUUUUAUUCAGCUGCUGUUUCUGUCUGGGAAUGGUGUGUUUGGCACUUUCCCUGAUUUUCCUGCGCUUUGGGGGUCUGAGAUAAAGCCUUUCAGUAUUACUCAUCUGUCCCAGGAGAUUGGGAAGGGCUCUGAGGAGCUGGAGGCUGUGGUGGUGUUUCUGCUUUCCAGCUGGAGCUGGGUACAGCGGGGCAGCCUCUCUGUCUGGGGCUUUCAGGCUGGUAUCUGGCACUGCCACGUGCAUCCGUGUCCCAGCUCUCUCCACCUCAUCCCCUCCUUUUUGGAGACACGCGGCAGCAGAGCACAAAGCUGCUCUGUCCCCUGGGCCCUCUUGCCCUUAGAUGGCUGCAGAAGGCUGCCAGCCCCGUUACUGGGCUUGAUUUAAUCCUGGUUUUUGUGUAACAGCCUGAAAAUCCUCAUGGCCAUCAGGGCACAGCACAUUAGGGAUCUAGAGACACGUGUUCAAGCCUUGUUCGGGGCUCCUGUGGAAAUACUCCCACGGCUGUGUCAGCUCUGGGGAGGUGCUGAGAUGCACAGGCACAACUAGAUUACAUUUAGAAAGUCCCUUCCCACUCCAGCUAUUCCAUAAUUCUAUUCUAUGAUCUUUCCCAGAUGCUUGGGAUACCCAGAGAAAAUGAACUGAUUUCAUACUGGUGUCUUCUCCCAAGUGUUCUGUUUGGGUAGGGAGGUAGAUUUGAGGCUCCAAAGGGUGAAAGAACAUGAUCCAUGGGCAUGGGAGUGCUGGGUCCUCCUCCUGUCCAGUCCGGUUAUUUCCUCCAGCAUAUCUUUGAUCUCCACUGAAUGCUGUCAGCUUUUAGGGUUCAACCCCUUCCCUUGGAUAGCCCUAAAAAGGCACAGAGGAAUUCUGAAUGUCCAGUCUCUGCUGCCCUAUCUGCUGAUUCGUCCCUCCAUUUCCAAGUUGGCAUUGUAGAAAACAUCCUGGUUAUAUUCCUUUCCCCUGCCUUGCCCCUUUUCCACUGAAUUAGUGGAUGCACCAGGGCUGAUCAUUAAUCUUCUGUGGCUCUGAGCUCUGCUGGGAAAUCUGCUGGGGUGAAGCUGUGGAGUCAUUGCUGCGCAGGGCUCUGACCCUGCUCAGGGCUCAAGAGGGUCCCUGAGAUGUCACCUGGCUGGUGGCACGGUGUGGCUGUGCUGGCUGGUGGCAGGAACAACCCCUGGGCUCUCUCCCUCUCCUCUCCUCCUGCCUGGAGCUUGCCAGUUCGCAUGGCACGGGAAGAAACGGGAAAGUCAUAAAUCAAUCUCGAGUGUUUCUCUUCUCUUUAGGGGUAAAAUAAUAACCCCAAACAAAACAAGGUCGGGAGAAAGGAAUUCCUAAUGACAAACUUACUUCAGCUAGGACACCAGGGGCUUCAGCAAUAUGAGAUUAAACCUGCUGUGCUGAGACUCUAUUACUCCAUAUAUUACUGUGUGCUGCUGGACUGAUGGUUCUCACAGGCGGAAAUAUAACCCUUGGAAAUGUCAAGGCACAUAAUAAAGAGACCUAGCAGGGGAGGCUGGAUGGCUCUGGGGAUUGAUAAAGCCUUUACAGCACCAGAGCUGCUGUGAGAAGGGGUGGGUGCCUGCUGGAGCUCAUACACUUUGCUGGUCCUUUUGUUAGAUGGUUCCAAGGGAGAGGUGACAUGGGAGAAAUUCUCCUGGAACAACUCCGUCUGGCCAAGUUUGCCUUGGCAAUAAAGCAGGGACCUCAGAAUGAAAGCUUGGAUGAAUAGUUGCCUCCUUGUGCAGUCCUCAGCUGUGUUUGUCCCCGGAGUGGCUGCCACACUUAUACCUCUUCAUUAGCUCUUAAUACUUCCCGUGUCCUCUUGGCAUUGCAAAUCCCUUGGGGACAGACCGUUUCCCUGGGAGCCCGGCUGGGUCUCCUGGGUUUGUGUGAGACCUCACUGUAAAUCUCUUGGGAAGUGUCUCCCUAAUGGCUGGUGGAUGGAGCCAUCUCAAGGGGAAACCAGGCAGCACUUGGGAUCCUCGCCAAGGACCUCGAAACAAAUCCUCCAGGGUAGCAAAAAGCAUUUUCUCAUUGGCAUGUGGAUCUAUGAAUCCUGGGUUGGGGAAUGAGCACAAGCAUGAGAUGCUGGAUGAGCUGAUGCCAGUGGGUCUGUGUGUGCUGUCCCCAAAAAUCCCACUCACCAUUGCUGUGCAUAACAGGGCUCCCUGGUAGCCCUGCUUGGUGGCUGGAGUCUGUGAACCUUCCCAUCCCUCCAUGGCGGCUGCGGGCUCGUUAAGGCGAGAAGAGGGAAAUAAAUCUCCUGGAACUCAUGAACUAUUUACAGCAGUGCUGAGCAAGCAGUCUGCAAUUAUUUAUUUAUUCUCCCCAGGACGCUGCACUGGUGAACCCAGAGAGUUGGGAAUGCUGCCAGGGCUUCCCAGUGCAGCCCCACACUGCCUCCUCUGCAUGGGGCUCCCAGUGGGCAGGCAAUUCCCUGAAGACCCCAAAAGGCAGCACACAUGCCCUGGAAGCAUCUGUGUGCUGUGUGUGUCUUUGGAGGGAAUAAAACCCAACCUUUCCUUGUGCUGAGGUAUUUUCAGCCCUGCUCUGGCUCAGCAUUCUUGUGCCCAGGGCCACAAAAAGAAGGAAAAUCAAACUGUCGAAGAGGAGGAUAUUUUGCAGGGAGAUGUGUUGGAGGAACCUGUUGCAUGUGAAAUGUAUCUGCAGCUGGUUUGAGGUGUAAGGGUAAAAUUGUUGUAAAAUUGUUUGGGUGGGAAGAGACCUUAAAGAUAAUUUUGUGUCACCCCCUGCCAUGGGCAGGGACACUUUCCACUGCAAAUGUAACUCCAAGCUCCAUCCAGUCUGGCAUUGAACAGUUCUGGGGAUGGGGCUUGAUUUUCUGAAAUAGCCAUUUUCCCCUGCAUCAUUCCCAGACAAUCAAUAGAUAUUUAUGAGCGAUCCUUCCAGUAAUUACACAGCCUCCUGUGUUGUGAAAACAGGUCCUUUAAACAGCCAAGAGGCAAGUCAGGGUUUGCUGGGCCUUAUCCACAGGACCCUGCCUUGCACAGGGAUGUGUCUGGGAGGCGCUGCCCUAUUGGCUUUCCCUUCCCUAUCCCUGUGCAUUUUCUGCCCCAGAAUUAGGGCUGAUGGACAGGAUGCUGUGAGGAUGAAGGAAUGGCCCCUUUCCCUUUCCUGGCAGCACUGGAGUCUCCUUACUGGCACUCAUGUUUCUUCAAAGGCAUUUUCUCACUGUGGGGCUUAUGGGCCAAGGACACUUCUCGCCUUCAGCUUUAUAUCUGUCAGUUUGAUCAGCAAAUGGGGGAGAGUGCCAUAAAACUGUGGAGGCUGAGUUCCUAGUCCCUUUAAUCCCUCCAGGAGGGCCGGCGUUAUUUCUCCGCCGGGAGCGCUAAUAGGAUUCUAAUACGCUGGCAAAUGGGAUUUUUUACAACUGCCAUUCUGCACUUACGGAGAUGGUGUGUCACCGGGACAGCCCUAUAAAUUCUGGAGAUGGAGGGGGCUGGUGACUUGGGAGGGGGAGUGGUGCCCUUGCUGAUGGUGUUUGGGAAGGAUUGGCCGGAUGGCUCAUUGCUGUUUUCCAUGCUCUUGGAGCAUCACCAUGGCUUGUCUGGGUGGUGUUGCUGGGUUGGUGGUUGGGCUGAUGGGACAGGGGUGGUUUGGCUGUUUCUGGUAGAAUUUAGGGUUGGUGUCUGGAAUUUUGGACUUACCCUCCUUGCUCCCUCCAUGCUGUCUUUGCUCCCUCUGUGCCCUCCCCCGUGCAUGUGUGUGCCAGGAUGAGCAUCUCUUUGAUGUUCUCAGCAGGCAAAGCAAGGAGUUGUGUGCUCUGUGGUGUUCACAUUGGCUUAAAGGGAUUGCAAAGCCCUCAUAAACCUGGGAAUGUUGUGGAAGGAUCUGUUUGUUCCUCCCCUCCAUUGCUACCCCUGCCUGUCUCCUCUGUCACAGUGGCUGGAAGGUUCCAGUGUGAAGGUCACAUCCAGCUCCCUGCUGCCUUCCCCAGCCAGCCCCAAUCCUGGGCCCAGGCCAGUGGGACCAUCAAAUCUGUGGAGUGGCAGGACAGGGGGUCAUUGCCAGUGGUCACUGCACGGUGGCCAUGCAUGGGACAACUGCCCUGCUGCCCAAAAGUCCCACCCUGACGUCAGGAAUCCUCAUGCCAGGCGCUGCACAGGUUGAUUGUGAGAGGCAGAGCUGCCCCACAGGUAAUAGAGCAGCUCUCCUUACUCCCACUUUACAGGCAGCUGAGCCGAGGGGAAACGCGUGGUCCAAGUUAAUAAAAACUCCUUGAAUAAUCCCCCUGUGAUUUUUCCAAGGUUAUCAAGGCAGACUGAGGUUUGAAGAGAGAUGUGGAGAGCGCUAAACAGAAAUCUGGCAGUCUGUAAACAGCUCGCUCCAGGGUUUUAAAUUGUCAGGAUGCAACAAAAGCAGCAGAGUUCCUUUCCCAAUUAAAAAAUAAAACAAAUUUGAAAAGUUCUGCAUGUAAAUCGGCACCAGAGAAUGAGCUCGUGUUGUGCAAUAAAUAGGUGAAGGCAGGAAAAUGUCACAUUUUAUUGAGGGAAAAUCUGUGACGGGAGAAAAUAUCUUCUCUGAGACUGAUAUGUUUGGGGAAAAUAAAAUAGCAGCAAAGUGGCUUUUUCAGUCUCAGCUGCAGGAGGAGGUGGAGGAAGUGGGGUCCCUGGUAGGGAUAUCACAGAUACCUCUGCACCCAGGACUUGGGAACAUCAUGGAAAAGGGCUCCUGAGCUGUCACCGGUUCUAGCAGAGAGUUAAAGCAAAAUUGGGACCAUCUGCUGCACUUCAGGAUUUGCUUCCCACACUGUUUCCUCCUCCCUCAACACAUCUGGGCAAGGAGAGGUGGUGAGACAGCUGCUGGAGAUAGCAACCCUUGAACUUACCAAGUGGUGUGUUAGCUCAGGAUGCUCCAAAUUCUUCCAGAUUCUGAAAAUCCCACACUUUUCUCUGCUUGGAGCAGUGACCGCAGCUCUCUGUGCUCCCCAAGUCCUGGACCUGGGGUCAAAUCAAUGCGACGUCUCACAGGUUUUGCUGGGAAUGGGUGGGAUGUCCUCUCCUGGACCAGGGGACUCUCCAAAUCAUAGAAUCAUGGAAUCAAAUAAGACUGGGAGAGAUGUCCAAUGUCACAGAGUCCAAUCUUUGACCAACCACCACCUUCUCAAUAAGACCAGAGCACUGAGUGUCAGGUCCUGUCAAAGCCAGGGCUGCAUCUCCCCUUCUCCUUUCUUCCUAGAAAAGCCAGAGGAGAUAUGUCCCUUGGACAAAUUCAUUUGGCCUUGUCACCUUGAUUUUUACUCUUUGGAGUAAGACUUUGCAGGAAAUCAUCUGGAAUUGUGGCUCUGUGUUGCAAACCUUCAGUGGUGUGUGGGUAUAUUUUGGUAGGUCCUUCUCUCUCCGUGUGCUUUAACCCCAGGAUAUUCCAUCCCCUGCCCAAACCUGUCAGGGUACAUUGCACACUAAGGUGAGAAGCAGAAAAAGGAGAUGAGAUUUUUUCCUGUUUUACAUCUAAAAUUGGCUGUGACCAAAUCCAUUUGCUUGACAAGCAGUCAGGAGAUUGAGGAUUUGGACUUAGGAGAGGAAAAAAUGCAUCUCCAGGUCAGUAUUGCAAACCAGGAUGGGCCCUGGAAAGGGUUUUCCACCUCCUGAGGCAUCUGGCUCUGGGCAUUGCUGGCAAUGUAUCCCUAACAAUGGGAUUUCAACAGAAACAUUCAUUUCUGCAGGUAGGAACAAACACUGACAACAAACAGCUCAGCAGUGAGUGCAAGCAAGGCAGAAGAAAGAUGAAUAUUUGGCUUGUAGAGAACUGUUUUAUUCCUGUCCCUACCAGAAUAGGAUGCUCUUUUCCCAUUCAGAAGAAAAACUAAGUUGUAGUGAUGAUCUUUGGGUUUUAUUUGUGGAAGGGAUUUCAUGGAGGGAAGACAAACAAGGAGGAGAGGGAAGACAAAAUCAUAGAAUGAUUUUAGUUGGAAAAGCCCUUUAAGGUCACCAAAUCCAACAAACCAGUGCUGCCAAGGUUACCAUUGCCUGUGUCCCCAGGUACCUACAUGGUUUUUAAAUCUUUCCAGGGAUGUCAAAUUCAUCCCUGUCUUGGACAGCCUGUGCCAAUCCUUUCAGUGUAGAAAUUCUCCCCCAUAUCCAACCUAAACCUCCCUUGGUAUCACUUGAGUCCAUGUGCUUUUGAUCUUCCUAUGCUCUUGUUGAACGUUAGCAUGAUUUUUCAUUCAAUAAGUUUAUGUUGAAUAUUUUAAUUGAUUUUUUAAAUGACAGUUGAGCAUGGAAGAGUCUGAAGUUUUGUACGCCCUACCAAGGAUACGAUGGAUGUGAAAGUCGUGCAUGGCCAAGCCUUGUUAGGAGCUGCAAACUCUCUACUUGACGGGAAAUGGAAAAUAAGACAAAUAGAUCAAUUUUCAUUGCAGCAAAAGCUUAGCAGUCGUGGGCUUCAAAUUUCCUCUGGGGUCUAAUGUUGUUUAACUUGUUUCUUAAUGAUCUGAAACAUGGGGUGACUGGGGCUGUGGCCUUUGACUGCAAGAGAAAUAUAAAGUUGCCCUAAUAAUGGAGCGUUGGGAGUUAUGAAAAGGAUCUGGAUAAAUUAGAUUGUGGCCUUGUGUGUGGCAAUGGCAGUGUCCUCCUGGAGAGAUAACGAUCAGUAUUAACUGAGGGGAAGGAAAAAACAGGCUAAAUGUGCUGUAUGUGGAGAAUCUAUUCCAGAUACUGGGGUGGGCGAUGCUGCGUUCAUGGAGUGGUGGGAUUUCACACAUUACCGGGGAUUGCAGAGGGGCAGCUCCAAAAUACAAGUUUCUGGGCUCAGUAGAGAUGUGAGGAAAUUAAAGCUCUGAGGAGGGUUCUGUGUGCGAUUUUAUGGCAAGGAAAAGCUCUCGGUUAGGCUCUGGCAGGAAGGAAUGGAUAUCUCCUAACACAUGGGGCUGAUGUCCUUAGUCACGCCGGUGGAAGUGACCCGAUGCGAAAUAGAGUUAUAGAUUUUUUGUGCUGCUGGACAUAUGGCCAGAGUGGGAUUUAGAGCUGCUUUUGCAGCUUCUGGGCUGUGGCUGCAACUGCAAGGAAUUGCUGAUACAAAGAUGUUUCUGGAGACUCCUCACAAUUACCAAAAAAACAAACAUUAAAAUAAAGACUUUUGCAGUGCAACAUUAUAUAAAGAGCCUCAAAUUAAAUUUAAGUAUGCAAGAAGAAUCAAAUUUUUGAUGUAAAGCUGACUCUUUUCUCCACACAACCAUUGUGUGGAGCCAGCAGAGGCUCAGCCAGACCCAUUUGGACAAAAUUUUGGUGCAAAGGACUUGUCCAGGCUUGGUUCUUCUAUGGUUUAUGCCACAUAUAUUGUUCCCAGAGCUUCCCUGAGCCUUUGGCACCUCACAAGCUGCCCACUGGCCCCUGCAUGAAGCAACAGCAUCAGCAAACCUUCUUUAAAUUCUCCUUGCCCCACAGGUUCACUCUGUGGGAAGGAGCUGUAGGGAGAGGUGACUUACAUCCCUUGCAGCAAAAAUCUGGGAUGAAAUCCUCCUUGAUCUGGGUGAUUUGUGAUAUUUCACCUGUCAUUUAAACUUCUGAAGUUGUUGCACUUGGACAGAGCAAACCUCAA